rnacentral:rRNA from 1 species
AUUGAACGCUGGCGGCAGGCUUAACACAUGCAAGUCGAGCGGAGAUGAGGUGCUUGCACCUUAUCUUAGCGGCGGACGGGUGAGUAAUGCUUAGGAAUCUGCCUAUUAGUGGGGGACAACAUUCCGAAAGGAAUGCUAAUACCGCAUACGUCCUACGGGAGAAAGCAGGGGAUCUUCGGACCUUGCGCUAAUAGAUGAGCCUAAGUCGGAUUAGCUAGUUGGUGGGGUAAAGGCCUACCAAGGCGACGAUCUGUAGCGGGUCUGAGAGGAUGGUCCGCCACACUGGGACUGCGUCACGGCCAAGACUCCGGCGGGAAGCAGAAGUGGGGAAGAUUGGACAAUGGGCGGAACCCUGAUCCAGCCAUGCCGCGUGUGUGCAGAAGGCCUUAGGGUUGUAAAGCACUUUACGCGAGGAGGAGGCUACUGAGACUAAUACGCUUGGGUAGUGGACGUUACUCGCAGAAUAAGCACCGGCUAACUCUGUGCCAGCCGCCGCAGUAACAC